GUCCCUACGGUGUUUGAUAACUUCAGUGCAAAUGUGGUGGUGGAAGGCAGCACUGUGAACCUUGGCUUGUGGGAUACUGCAGGUCAAGAAGACUACAAUAGGUUGAGGCCUCUAAGUUACAGAGGAGCUGAUGUAUUCAUACUAGCUUUCUCACUAAUCAGUAGCGCCAGCUAUGAGAAUAUAUCCAAGAAGGUUAUCCAUCUUGUAACGCAUUAGAAAGAAUCUCUUUCAUUAUGAUAAGAGGAGUUCCCACUAAUCUCAAUUUUGCUUCUAAUGAUUUCAGUGGAUUCCUGAACUAAGGCAUUAUGCUCCAAGUGUACCCAUAGUGUUGGUGGGAACUAAACUUGGUAAGAAAAUAAUGCAAUAGAACAUAUGCAAUUCAUACAAAUAUUUCAUUAUUGUCACAAAACGUAUAAACCUUACAUCAUUCUACUAGCUUAUGAAUUGCACCUUAUUGAAAUUUCCUAGCUCAAUACAGAUAAUUCUACUUGUGAUUCCGUGCAGAUUUAAGAGAAGACAAGCAAUUCCUCACGAACCACCCGGGCGCAAUAACAAUUUCAACUGCACAGGCAAAUUAUAUUAAUCUCUGAAACAAGAAUGAUUGGAAUAAAUAAGGUUUAUUUACAAAAUGCAGAAGUGAUAUUUUCUUUUGGAGCAGGGGGAAGAGCUGAAAAAAUCGAUUGGUGCUGCUGCCUAUAUUGAAUGUAGCUCAAAGACCCAACAGGUAAACUUUCCUAAUGGCCAUUGCGUAGAAGCUUUAUAAAUUCAGCUAAAGCAGUUUGCACAUGAAGUUCUAGAAGUAAAUAAAGCAUUUACAUAACAGAAAGAUUGUUUGCAGUAUUUGAUAAUAUUAAAUGAUUGGUCUCCUACUCUGCAUUAGAACUAUAACCUUUUACGAAAUUCAUGGCUUUUUUUAAAAAAACAUGUAAUGUUUUCAAUGGUUUAACACAAACUUAAAUGCACCACUGAAAUAUGCGACUUACAGAUUCUAAAAUUAUGAUUUAAUUUCAUGUAAUAAUAGUCGGAAGAAGCAUACAGAUGAACUCAUUUGUAAGUGCUGCAGAGUUUAGGGUUUAGAUAUAUAAGAUGAGAAUUACUUCUGUGGUAAUGCAGAUUUAUUCUCUCUUAACUAUUUAUUUUUUUUUCUACAGAACGUGAAGGCUGUUUUUGAUUCUGCAAUCAAGGUGGUGUUGUGUCCGCCAAAACCAAAGAAAAAAAAGCGAAGGCAAAGAACUUGCCUAAUUCUCUAAGUAAAUGAACCUUGAAUAAAUGAAAUGCAUUCCCAGUAAUCCAAUUGUUUUAAUCCAACAUCUACAAUGGUUUUUGUUUUUCUGUUUUCUUCUUUCCCAGAAAAUGCUUUGUAAUUAAUAUAGUGAGCGAGGGGUGUGUCACAAUAUGAAAUGUUCUUUUUUUAUUUUUCUAACCUUUCUUUUAAUCUGGAAUUCUAGAAUAUUUCCAGAAUAGUAUGUGUAUGUUGUUUCCAUCAUAGGGAAAUUUCACUCUAGAACUUUGUGAUGAUUGCCUUUCUGUUACUAUGGUGCCAGAUAUAAAGCAUUCUCAUGGAAAAGAAAAACAUGAUGAACAUAUCAAACUAUAAAAGUUUUAUGGUAUAAUUGAGCAUUGAUAUGCUAUUUAUCCCCCUCAUUCAUUUGCUUAAUUUUUUAAAUCAAAUUAAUAUUUUCCGUUAUAAUGAGCUCCAGUUUAUAAACCAAUAAUCUAAACAGCUUCCAAGAAACAUAUCUGCAUAUGACAAAUAUUACGGGUAAAAUAACUAACAGAAACAGUAAAUAUCUCAAUAUCAAAAUCAUAUUUAUCAUCAUUAAGCUAGUAUUGAACUUACAGUUUCUAGCUUCAGCGCAUGCUUGAGUUCAUGUCCUUUAGAAGCUCAAAAAUUGAUCUGCUGUUCAUUCAUUUACAAACUACAACCAAACACUACCAGCCAAUUUCUGUUUUAUAUGUGAAAAGUUAAACAAAAGAUAAUCUGAGCAGAAACGUGACAAAAGUUUUGCCUUUCCAGUAGGGUGAACCAAAUCUAAAUGAACCACAAUAAAAGAAAUUCCUUAUCAUAAUUGAGAAUUCUUCUUCCUAUUUAUUUUAUAUCCUUUAUAUAUUUAACAAAAAAAGGCAAGGACUCAGCUCAUGACAGAGAUUUUUUUCUCUGAAAAGUCGAAUGGAGAUUUAUUAGGCGAGAAAAAUAACAAAACUGGCCUCAAAAUCCUUCUAUAGUUAUCUUAAAUGAAGAGAACUGCAGUUUCAACACAACAUUUCUACGCCCGUGGUCACCUUCUUAUUUCUAGUCACUCUUUUCAUUUUAAAUAAAAAUGAAAAUUUAAACAGAACCAGAGAGAUGGAGUUCAACGGCUUGAGCAGAAGUGAAUCUAAAGAAUCCUCUCUAAGACUAUAUAUGAAUUGAGUUAUUAUUUAUGAUACAGAACGCUAGCACUUGUUCUAAUGCAUAGCAUAAAAUUAACCAGCCAAGGGUAAAAGUUUGGGUAAAAGGAC